CCUACGGGAGGCAGCAGUGGGGGAUAUUGGACAAUGGGGGGAACCCUGAUCCAGCGACGCCGCGUGAGUGAAGAAGUAUUUCGGUAUGUAAAGCUCUGUCAGCAGGGAAGAAAGAAAUGACGGUACCUGACCAAGAAGCCCCGGCUAACUACGUGCCAGCAGCCGCGGUAAUACGGAGGGGGCAAGCGUUAUCCGGAAUUACUGGGUGUAAAGGGAGCGUAGACGGUUAAGUAAGUCUGGAGUGAAAGGCCGGGGCCCAACCCCGGGACUGCUCUGGAAACUAUUGAACUUGAGUGCAGGAGAGGUAAGCGGAAUUCCUAGUGGAGCGGUGAAAUGCGUAGAUAUUAGGAGGAACACCAGUGGCGAAGGCGGCUUACUGGACUGUAACUGACGUUGAGGCUCGAAAGCGUGGGGAGCAAACAGGAUUAGAUACCCCAGUAGUC
rnacentral:rRNA from 1 species